AAUCGUCCCCCCGUCGGCGCGUCGAUACGGCAAUAACGCAACGUGAUCGAAUCGCGUUCACUCGCCGCAAUUGUCCGAUUGGCGCUGGAAAUCCCGAAAAACACGGGCAAUAAUUGUUUUCACUAGCUCAACUCCGACUGUUAAGCCGCGGCACAGGUUUAAUUCACGAUUGUGCUCUGAAAAUCGAAAAAACGUCGAAAACUGCAAA